GAUCAUGGCUCAGAACGAACGCUGGCGGCAUGCCUAACACAUGCAAGUCGAACGAGACCUUCGGGUCUAGUGGCGCACGGGUGCGUAACGCGUGGGAAUCUGCCCCUUGGUUCGGAAUAACGGUUAGAAAUGACUGCUAAUACCGGAUGAUGACGAAAGUCCAAAGAUUUAUCGCCGAGGGAUGAGCCCGCGUAGGAUUAGCUAGUUGGUGAGGUAAAGGCUCACCAAGGCGACGAUCCUUAGCUGGUCUGAGAGGAUGAUCAGCCACACUGGGACUGAGACACGGCCCAGACUCCUACGGGAGGCAGCAGUGGGGAAUAUUGGACAAUGGGCGAAAGCCUGAUCCAGCAAUGCCGCGUGAGUGAUGAAGGCCUUAGGGUCGUAAAGCUCUUUUACCAGGGAUGAUAAUGACAGUACCUGGAGAAUAAGCUCCGGCUAACUCCGUG
rnacentral:rRNA from 1 species